GUAGGUGGCAAGCGUUGUCCGGAAUUAUUGGGCGUAAAGCGCGCGCAGGUGGUUCUUUAAGUCUGAUGUGAAAGCCCCCGGCUCAACCGGGGAGGGUCAUUGGAAACUGGGGAACUUGAGUGCAGGAGAGGAAAGUGGAAUUCCACGUGUAGCGGUGAAAUGCGUAGAUAUGUGGAGGAACACCAGUGGCGAAGGCGACUUUCUGGCCUGUAACUGACACUGAGGCGCGAAAGCGUGGGGAGCAAACAGGGAUUAGAUACCCUGGUAGUCCACGCCGUAAACGAUGAGUGCUAAGUGUUGGGGGGGGUUUUACCGCCCCCCGUCAGUGCUGCAGCUAACGCAUUAAGCACUCCGCCCUGGGAGUACGGUCGCAAGACUG
rnacentral:rRNA from 1 species